UUUGAACGGAAUGAAUCAAGGUAUAACUUUGGUGCAAUAGAGGCAAUAUCAAAUUUGCUUUUUUUUGCCUUGAAUAUUCCACACUUGCCCCGACUACAGUGUUGAAAUGACCCUAGCAAUCUUCUACAACCACACAUACAUAGCAAAGGAAUGUUGAGUAAGCUUAGUAACAAAUCUUUUGCCAGUUCAGAAGGUUAACCGGCUGCCUGGCAGUUUCACAGCUGUUGCUCCUGUUGGCAAUUACUUUGGCUCUCUCUUGCUUAGAUAUGUCAUAGAAAAUGUUGCUCUGGAUUCUGGCUGAUUUAAAUGCAGGUGCAGAAGAAAUCUAUCUCUUAACUCAUCAAAUUUAAAUAAAGCGCCCUCCUAAACAGAGCGAGUCCUGCCAACUCAUCCACCACUGAUGAAGAAACUAUAUGAUACAUUAGGAAAAGAUGAGUUUUUGGCAGUGGGGGAUGUUAGGAAGUAUAAGAACAUAACAAAUGACGGCAGUUUGUUCUUACAGCAAUCAACCAGCUGCCCGUAAAAAGUCCACAAAGAGGGUAUGCAUACAGUAACACUGUCCUUCCUAGUCUCCCUUACUGUAGCUGGCCUCGAGGAAUGCAAUAGUGGUGGUAGUUACAAGGUUCUCAAAACAAGUAACAAGUAGCCUCUAAUAGCCCUAUCAUCCUUGUAUCUGUUGAACGCCUUGGAAAAAACCCUAACCUGGUGGAUCUCAUCAAAUUUUCUGUUACAUUUUUUUAUGGAGUAAUUGUGCACUAUAUAAAGGAAUUCUUUUUCCUGUUUUAAUUCUCCAAAUGUUCAGCUUCACUGGAGGACAUCUGCUUUUUGAAAAUAAGGAUAGAAUCCACAGGUUCCAUUUGUGCUAUACAGUUCAUGGCCUUGAAAGGAAAAGAACAAACAAGAGGCUGAAUUUUUGCAUAUUUGCUAUGAGCUAACAAGUUUGAAAUACUGAAAUUGUCAUCAGAGUCUUCCGAAAAUCUUCUCAUCCUACCAACUUAUUUCCUGACCCAGGAUACGACGGAUUUCCUAUAGAUGAGGUAAGUUGAUAUGGAUAUGGAAGUGGUUUGAUUGUCUGAGGGUUUUAAUUAAUUCGUCAAAAUGUCCCUAAAUAUCCACAUGGAUACAGAAGAAGUUUAGGGGUAUUGAUU
rnacentral:lncRNA from 1 species